rnacentral:lncRNA from 1 species
GGUUUGAUUCGACUUACUACCUUAAAGGGGGUUUAAUGCUGUUGCCUUUUGUUUCCCAUUUCAAAAAUUUAUUACAUUUGGUGCUGUUAUUUUUUCAAUAUCUUAUGUAGAUGCACCCUAAUUCUUGUCUUAGGGACAAAGUUUCACCUGGGGGCACCGGUUUGAGAGCUCAAAGCCGCUGGUUUUGUUUGUUCACCUUGUUUCUUAUUUUUGUUACUUGCUCAAUAUCGUUUUGUUUGUUCACCUUGUUUCUUAUUUUUGUUACUUGCACAAUAUCGUUUCUGUGGUUUUUCCGUUGGUGUCUUGUGCCGACUUGCAUAAUGCAGAGACUUGUUUUAGUCCUCAUUAUGCAAGUCUAUGAGGAUUUUGAGCAGUCCUACACUUACCUUGUUU